GGUUAAGCGACUAAGCGUACACGGUGGAUGCCCUGGCAGUCAGAGGCGAUGAAGGACGUGCUAAUCUGCGAUAAGCGUCGGUAAGGUGAUAUGAACCGUUAUAACCGGCGAUUUCCGAAUGGGGAAACCCAGUGUGUUUCGACACACUAUCAUUAACUGAAUCCAUAGGUUAAUGAGGCGAACCGGGGGAACUGAAACAUCUAAGUACCCCGAGGAAAAGAAAUCAACCGAGAUUCCCCCAGUAGCGGCGAGCGAACGGGGAGCAGCCCAGAGCCUGAAUCAGUGUGUGUGUUAGUGGAAGCGUCUGGAAAGGCGCGCGAUACAGGGUGACAGCCCCGUACACAAAAAUGCACAUAUUGUGAGCUCGAUGAGUAGGGCGGGACACGUGGUAUCCUGUCUGAAUAUGGGGGGACCAUCCUCCAAGGCUAAAUACUCCUGACUGACCGAUAGUGAACCAGUACCGUGAGGGAAAGGCGAAAAGAACCCCGGCGAGGGGAGUGAAAAAGAACCUGAAACCGUGUACGUACAAGCAGUGGGAGCACAGAGCAAUCUGUGUGACUGCGUACCUUUUGUAUAAUGGGUCAGCGACUUAUAUUCUGUAGCAAGGUUAACCGAAUAGGGGAGCCGAAGGGAAACCGAGUCUUAACUGGGCGUUAAGUUGCAGGGUAUAGACCCGAAACCCGGUGAUCUAGCCAUGGGCAGGUUGAAGGUUGGGUAACACUAACUGGAGGACCGAACCGACUAAUGUUGAAAAAUUAGCGGAUGACUUGUGGCUGGGGGUGAAAGGCCAAUCAAACCGGGAGAUAGCUGGUUCUCCCCGAAAGCUAUUUAGGUAGCGCCUCGUGAAUUCAUCUCCGGGGGUAGAGCACUGUUUCGGCAAGGGGGUCAUCCCGACUUACCAACCCGAUGCAAACUGCGAAUACCGGAGAAUGUUAUCACGGGAGACACACGGCGGGUGCUAACGUCCGUCGUGAAGAGGGAAACAACCCAGACCGCCAGCUAAGGUCCCAAAGUCAUGGUUAAGUGGGAAACGAUGUGGGAAGGCCCAGACAGCCAGGAUGUUGGCUUAGAAGCAGCCAUCAUUUAAAGAAAGCGUAAUAGCUCACUGGUCGAGUCGGCCUGCGCGGAAGAUGUAACGGGGCUAAACCAUGCACCGAAGCUGCGGCAGCGACGCUUAUGCGUUGUUGGGUAGGGGAGCGUUCUGUAAGCCUGUGAAGGUGUGCUGUGAGGCAUGCUGGAGGUAUCAGAAGUGCGAAUGCUGACAUAAGUAACGAUAAAGCGGGUGAAAAGCCCGCUCGCCGGAAGACCAAGGGUUCCUGUCCAACGUUAAUCGGGGUAGGGUGAGUCGACCCCUAAGGCGAGGCCGAAAGGCGUAGUCGAUGGGAAACAGGUUAAUAUUCCUGUACUUGGUGUUACUGCGAAGGGGGGACGGAGAAGGCUAUGUUGGCCGGGCGACGGUUGUCCCGGUUUAAGCGUGUAGGCUGGUUUUCCAGGCAAAUCCGGAAAAUCAAGGCUGAGGCGUGAUGACGAGGCACUACGGUGCUGAAGCAACAAAUGCCCUGCUUCCAGGAAAAGCCUCUAAGCAUCAGGUAACAUCAAAUCGUACCCCAAACCGACACAGGUGGUCAGGUAGAGAAUACCAAGGCGCUUGAGAGAACUCGGGUGAAGGAACUAGGCAAAAUGGUGCCGUAACUUCGGGAGAAGGCACGCUGAUAUGUAGGUGAAGUCCCUCGCGGAUGGAGCUGAAAUCAGUCGAAGAUACCAGCUGGCUGCAACUGUUUAUUAAAAACACAGCACUGUGCAAACACGAAAGUGGACGUAUACGGUGUGACGCCUGCCCGGUGCCGGAAGGUUAAUUGAUGGGGUUAGCGGUAACGCGAAGCUCUUGAUCGAAGCCCCGGUAAACGGCGGUACCGUAACUAUAACGGUCCUAAGGUAGCGAAAUUCCUUGUCGGGUAAGUUCCGACCUGCACGAAUGGCGUAAUGAUGGCCAGGCUGUCUCCACCCGAGACUCAGUGAAAUUGAACUCGCUGUGAAGAUGCAGUGUACCCGCGGCAAGACGGAAAGACCCCGUGAACCUUUACUAUAGCUUGACACUGAACAUUGAGCCUUGAUGUGUAGGAUAGGUGGGAGGCUUUGAAGUGUGGACGCCAGUCUGCAUGGAGCCGGCCUUGAAAUACCACCCUUUAAUGUUUGAUGUUCUAACGUUGGCCCCUGAUCGGGGUUGCGGACAGUGUCUGGUGGGUAGUUUGACUGGGGCGGUCUCCUCCUAAAGAGUAACGGAGGAGCACGAAGGUUGGCUAAUCCUGGUCGGACAUCAGGAGGUUAGUGCAAUGGCAUAAGCCAGCUUGACUGCGAGCGUGACGGCGCGAGCAGGUGCGAAAGCAGGUCAUAGUGAUCCGGUGGUUCUGAAUGGAAGGGCCAUCGCUCAACGGAUAAAAGGUACUCCGGGGAUAACAGGCUGAUACCGCCCAAGAGUUCAUAUCGACGGCGGUGUUUGGCACCUCGAUGUCGGCUCAUCACAUCCUGGGGCUGAAGUAGGUCCCAAGGGUAUGGCUGUUCGCCAUUUAAAGUGGUACGCGAGCUGGGUUUAGAACGUCGUGAGACAGUUCGGUCCCUAUCUGCCGUGGGCGCUGGAGAACUGAGGGGGGCUGCUCCUAGUACGAGAGGACCGGAGUGGACGCAUCACUGGUGUUCGGGUUGUCAUGCCAAUGGCACUGCCCGGUAGCUAAAUGCGGAAGAGAUAAGUGCUGAAAGCAUCUAAGCACGAAACUUGCCCCGAGAUGAGUUCUCCCUGACUCCUUGAGAGUCCUGAAGGAACGUUGAAGACGACGACGUUGAUAGGCCGGGUGUGUAAGCGCAGCGAUGCGUUGAGCUAACCGGUACUAAUGAACCGUGAGGCUUAACCUU
rnacentral:rRNA from 1 species